AUUGAACGCUGGCGGCAGGCCUAACACAUGCAAGUCGAGCGGAGCGGCGGACGGGUGAGUAAUGCCUAGGAAUCUGCCUGGUAGCGGGGGAUAACGUCCGGACACGGGCGCUAAUACCGCAUACUAUCAGAUGAGCCUAGGUCGGAUUAGAUAAUUUGUGGGGUAAAGGCCUACCAAGGCGACGAUCCGUAACUGGUCUGAGAGGAUGAUAAGGCAAACUGUAACUGAGACACGGUCCAGGCUCCUACGGGAGGCAGCAGGGGUGAAUAGUGGGCAAUGGGCGAAAGCCUGAUCCAGCCAUGCCGCGGGUGUGAAGAAGGUCUUCGGAGUGUAAAGCACGUUAAGUUGGGAGGCGUUACCAACAGAAUAAGCACCGGCUAACUUCGUGCCAGCCGCCGCGGUAAUAC
rnacentral:rRNA from 1 species